rnacentral:lncRNA from 1 species
UGGCGGGGGGCGGGGUGUGGGGAGCCACUGGCGGGAAGACAGGGAGGGAGAGCGCGUCUGGGGAGUGUGCGCCCAAGGCCAGAGGCACCCGAGGUGGGCUGGCCCGGGGUGGAAAGCUGGGCCGAGCCCCUGGAGCGGGCGGAACGGCGAGCCAGAUUCAGGAAGUUGUGCCUGUGACAUCAGGGGCAGGACAGAGUUGGAGCGAAACCUCAACUAUGCAAGGCGUCGGCCCGCAGGAGGGCAGGGAACACAGAGGGCGCUGUCCUCGGCUGCAGCGGCAGGGCCCGGGGCGCUGUCAGACGGGGCAGCACCCAGGAGAUUCCCUGGGCAACCACGCCUGCAGGAAGCCCUUCCGCGGACCGAAAGACUGGGCAGUGAUCAGGAUCUGAAUGCACAGGGCUGGUGUUCAGCGAUUGUUUACUACGUUGAACGUGACCUCCAGAAAAGCAGUUCUGGCCGAGAUCCCCUGACAACACAGAAGAAGAAGUAACGUGGAAGGAGGCUCCCCAAGCUGGCCAUUGUGCUGCUGUGUGUGGAGGUAAACUUCUUCCCCCCUCUCCUCACCCAUGAUUCAUUCCCUCAUUUAGCACAUGGCUCCUGUGCUCAUAAACGAAGGUCGGCUGCUCAACUUGCUUAUGCAAUGGGUCUCAAACCUGACAAUUGUCCAGAAACACUCGGGCUGCUUGCUACAAACAUAAAUUCCUGGGCCCAUCCUAGACCCGACUGAAUCAGGGUCUCCAGGAACAGGAUGCAGGAAUCUGUAUUUUUAACUGCUUAAAUGACUCUUCGUAGCCAACAGUCCAUCCUGCUGUCACCUGGGAUCCUGGGCAGAGGAGCUAAAGCAAGCACAGUGAUCAGCGCAACCCAAGGCAGAAAACUCAAUGGAGCUAUUUGAGCAAAGGCCCAAGGGGAGGUCUUUGCUCCCAGCUGUCAGUUAUAAAAUGGCCCCCCUCACAAAUCCAGGAGUCAGCAGCCGCAGAAGAGGGGCCUGUUAAGGUUCUCAUAGAGAACUGAACCUCCCACCUCCCCCUACAAGAAGGGGACAAUUUGUACCAUUUGGAGGUCACUCUGGAGUUGGUCUCAGGGAUUCUAAUUGGGUGCCAAUGUGAUCCUUAUUAUUAACCUUUCCAGAAAAUAUUUACUGUCUCACAGACACUGUUCUAGAGCUUUACAUGUAUUAUUUUAUCUAACAAACAAGAACAGUGAGAGGCUGAUGCAGAAUAGAAUGUCCUGCUCCCUUCUUGGAGAGCACUGGAAAGAACAGUAGUGUCAGGACCAGCCCUGAACAUAGCCUGCAGUAGCUUUUGGCUCUCAGAGAUUGAAGCAGACCUCCCUGUGGAAUGACCCACCCCUGUAACACUUCCAAGGGUCCCAAAGCCUGGGAGGGAGGCUGGGGCCUGUAGAUGGCCAGCUGUUCUCCUCCACCUCACCUAUGAACUCAGCAAUCCUCCAGGCGCCUUCAAAUGUUCCCCAAGCGACUGCUCUCCAUC